UAUUUAGCCGACCCCACUUAGUGGGAAAAGGCUUUGUUGUUGUUGUUGUUGUUGUUGUUGUUGUUGUUGUUGAAACAAUUUUCGACAUCUGAUUAUUUUUUCAAGAACAAUUAUUCACAAGGUACAUGAACGAUUUCAAUGGAUGAACCACAUUAUAGAAUGGCGAAGAAGGGAGUAUAUGGGGACUUGGUAUGUGUACGAUGAAGAGUGAAAAAAUUUCGAUGUUGAUCUUGUAACUAUAUCCAGAAUGUGCCGCCCAAAUGCUGUCUGACGGUUAAGUUAAUGAAUGAUUUGAGUCAAACAGUGGGCAAGAGAAUUCAAGUGGGUAGAUUGUUUUACCGUACAUGAAUCCUAGAUGAGUGUAUUUAUACCGUGAGAGAGAUUUUUUUUAAGGAUAAAAUUCUCGUUCUAAGCCACGAGAAUCUUAGAGGAUAUCUAGUAAGUAGAUAUUGCGUUCUCUUAGAAGUUGUGAUUACUUGCGUCGCAUGCUUAUCCCUAGAUUGUAGGGACUCCAAGACUUAUAGAAUCUGAUUCUGCCCAUAUCCGGAUCAGAUCGUGUGUUCUGCGAAACAAGCAUGGUCAUCCAGCAGAGUCACUAGGACUCCGCUUGUUGCCUCGGAGUAGAGUGAUGGUGGCACCCUGCUCCGUCUGAUACAAUUUCAUCUGAAGUUGGUGAGUUCAUGAUCGAACCUAUGAGGUAAUUGUAUUCGAAUCAGCCUUAUUUUGGUCUUGAAAAAUUAUAGUCCCACAAUGAUCCAAACUCAAUUAUUACAAAGUGUUGUUACUCAAAAGUGUGAACCCAAUUGCACACAAUUGAAGCAUGAGAAAUGUUAAGGAGACUCUCAAGGUGGAACUUUUUAUGAACUCUGAGUUUAACUUUAUUUCCCGUGCUAAUAUUAUAAAACAUUGUGCAAAAAGUAUGAGCCUUAACAUUUCUCUUAGAAGCAAUGAAUAAGAUGUCCUAAGAAUAAAAACAAACUUUGCUAAAAAUUCCUAAGUUAUUUUUCGGCUACAAGCCUAAAUAUCUUAUCUUUUUUUUAUCUACUAAACUUUUAUUUUGUUUUUUUUUUCUAACAAAAGAUAUUAAACUACAGAGAUAAGAUUCGAACACUAGACCUCAAAAGAUUUUUCUUAUUUGAUUAAACUGUCGAUUUUCCCUUUGAACUUUCACCAAACUUUUGAUUUACCCAUGAACUUUUAAAUUGGAAAAUCAAGGACUUAAACUAAUUGUUUAGGCCCAUUUCUCCCUUACCGUUAGUUUUCCAUAAAUUUCAGCCAAAUUAACGUUAACUCUUAUCUUGUGCACACCACAUGACUCUCAUUUGAGAAUGAAAAUGUUACUUCGCUAGACCUUCAGACGCAAACACUAUAGAUUCACACAUAUUUGCACAAGUCAACGCUUUAAAAAUCUAAGGUUUUCAAUUAUUUUAAAGAACGAAGCGACCAAACUAUUCUCACAUAUUGUGCACAUAUUUUCAUUUAACAGAAAUUUGGAUAGAAUAAAUAAAAAACUAACAGUUGGAAAAAUUGGUCAGAAUAAUUAGUUCAAGUCCUUGAUUUUUCAAUUUUUCAAUUUUUCAAUUUAAAGAUAAAUAAAAAAUUAAGUGAAACUUUAUAGGGAAAAUCGGCAGUUUACACUUUUUUCUUUGCCAAUUGGAAUUGGUAAUGUUACUUGGAACCUGGGUAGCCCAGCAAACCGACUGGACUAAGUAAGUAACACAUAAAUUCACACAAUUCGAUACUUUUUCCACAAUCUCGAUCAAAUUACAGACCAAAAGAAUUUUCCCAAAACUUUAAGAACGAACCCCUUUGCUACUUUCUCUUCCUCACAGUUUGUUUCUCUGAGCUCUCCAAUGGCUUCCACCCUCUACCAAUACUCAAUCACUCAGCAAAACCAAGCCCUACCAAACACCCACCACCUCCAAUCCUGCGACUGUUUCAUCUUCCACUUCAACUUCACCCACCAACUCCAACUUUUCUUCCCCCAGGACUUGAUUGUCCCACUCAAUUCAAUCCAACAAUCGUUCCUUGUCCCCUUUCAUGUGUUUUUCUCACAGACCCGAGAAACAAUCGAGACCAUUCUAUCCGGGACUGGAGUUUCCAUGGACUUUGUGGAGACUCUGGUGCCGGAAGUUUAUGCUUUGGCCGUGGAGAUUACCCGGAACUCUGAAAAUGCUGAGCCGAUAGUAGUCCCGCUGGAUUUGGAUGUCCUUGCUGUGACCCCUUUUGAUGACCGGGAACAGAUUGAGAGGGCUAUUGUGGAAUCUGGGCUGGUUUAUAAUCCUGUCCCGGCCGCCAAGUCAUUGGGUGCCGGACUAAAGACUGUAAAUAUUGAGAAUUUGGGUGUGAGCAAGGAAUGUAGCAUCUGUUUGGAGGAGCUUUCGACCGGAUUGGAGGUUGUGCUCAUGCCCUGCAAUCAUCUGUAUCAUAAAGAUUGCAUUGUUGAAUGGCUGAAGAGAAGUCACAUGUGCCCCUAUUGCCGCUUCAAGAUGCCCACUUGAUUGCAUUGGAUUGGAUUGGAUUGCGAAAGUUGCCACACCUGCUCGCUUGAUCACAUUGGCCUAACGGGAUUAUGAUCGAAAUCGCGGUGUUUGAUAGCUGGUGGCAAGGUUCUUGUCCUGCUUUCUGCUAUGUUACCGACGACGGAGGGAGUCUUAUGGAAAGUUUCCGGUGUUGUGCUUGGAACUGAAGUGCAGGGGACUUGAUGCAUUAGCAAGCUGCUAUGAGUAUCUGAGCCAAGUGCACGAAGGCUAGAUAGAAAAAAUUCGGCGUUCAUAGUUUAAGGUAAAUAGAAAAUGCAGCACAAGUUUAUAUGUAAUGUGUAAUGUAAGAGUGGUUUCUUGAGUCUUGGCAAAGACGAAUGUCAUUGUAUUCGUUAUCGACAAUGCUAAAAGAUUUUUGUCCUCUUUACUAUGAACGAACGCUUUGCUUACGUUACAAAUCAAAGGCAUUCAAGGAGAAAAAAAGGAAAAAGAUAUUAACACUGUACACAAAAAAGAAAGCCAAAAAAAAAAAAAAAAAAAAGA